CAUUUUCUCUGAAACUUCCUCCCUGUCCAGUGUUAUCUACCUUGGAACGAUUGUCUCAUUUAGAGGGACUCUCUAACCUGAGUACACAUUUGAAACAUCUGAGGGCUUUGAAACAUACCUGCUCCUGGACCACCUGCUGAACCAAUUAAAUCAGAAUUUCUGUUGUGAAGAUCUCCACGUGAGUUUAAGCUUUCCUGCUCAACUGUUAGUUCCAUGAAGGCAACAGCCAUGCCUGCUUCGUUCACUGAAAUAUCUUCGUUUCCUAACACACAGAAAGUCAUCAUUUUUUGACGGAUGAAAGAAUGGAUGAAUGCCUAGUCUUGGAGACAUCUACUUGCAAUAAAGGUUAGAUGAAGGAAAUGGAUGCCAGUGGGAGAUUUGUGGAUCUAUUUCACCAGAUUUCACUCUGCUGACUCAGCAAAAUGGUCCCCGAAGAAGGUGAAGAAACAGAGGCAAAGGGAGCAUAAGCAAUUUUCCAAAGGCCAUACAACAUGUAAGUGGCUGAGCCAAGACUGAAAUCACCAGGUUCUUAACCACUAGGCCAUAUUGCAUUGGAGUGUUGCCUCCUGGAGUAAGACUAGGCUAAAAGCUUCAUAGAAACC
rnacentral:lncRNA from 1 species